CCAAUGAAGAAAGGAAAAGAACACAAAAGAAGCAAAUGAAAGAAACACGCGCUCCGCUUGUUUUCAUUCCAUUUGUUCUUUCUGUUCUUUUGGUUCUUCAUUCACUUCUCCUC
rnacentral:ribozyme from 1 species